UUUAGAAGUAAAAGUCGUAACAAGGUUUCCGUAGGUGAACCUGCGGAAGGAUCAUUACAGAGUUCAUGCCCGAAAGGGUAGACCUCCCACCCUUGUGUAUUAUUACUUUGUUGCUUUGGCGAGCUGCCUUCGGGCCUUGCAUGCUCGCCAGAGAAUAACCAAACUCUUUUUAUUAUUGUCGUCUGAGUACUAUAUAAUAGUUAAAACUUUCAACAACGGAUCUCUUGGUUCUGGCAUCGAUGAAGAACGCAGCGAAAUGCGAUAAGUAAUGUGAAUUGCAGAAUUCAGUGAAUCAUCGAAUCUUUGAACGCACAUUGCGCCCCUUGGUAUUCCGGGGGGCAUGCCUGUUCGAGCGUCAUUUCAACCCUCAAGCACAGCUUGGUAUUGAGUCCAUAUCAGCAAUGGUAGGCUCUAAAGUCAGUGGCGGCGCCGCUGGGUCCUGAACGUAGUAAUAUCUCUCGUUACAGGUUCUCGGUGUGCUUCUGCCAAAACCUCAAUUUUCUAUGGUUGACCUCGGAUCAGGUAGGGAUACCCGCUGAACUUAAGCAUAUCAAAAG
rnacentral:rRNA from 1 species